UAAUAAGUGUUUACGGCACUUCUUAAAUCCAUAUCCACCUUGUGUGCAAUGUCAGCCGUUUUCUUUAUGAAAGCGGCCAAACAUCAACUUAUUUUUUAACUGUCUGUCUGAAAACUAUUAUGAAUAAACAAUUCAAAUA
rnacentral:misc_RNA from 1 species